UUGUCUGAGGGGCGACGUAGGUCGGUCGAGAGGCCGUCCAGGCUCUGCCCGGCUGCGAGGGAGGUGAAGGCCUUGGUCUGAGCUGGUGACAUCAGCAGAGGGAGGAGUCCCAGGAUCUGUGAGGAGUCAAGAUAAGUGUCUCAGGGAGGUGAAGGCCUUGGUCUGAGUGUGAAGGCAGGUUAGCUGAGGGAGCCACAUCAGGUCAGAAGAGGGUGGAGUCCCAAGCUCUACCAGGUGUCAAGGUUCCUAGGGGACAAACUGUCCAGGAAGACAGGAGCUCUGUGAGGCCCUAGAGCACCCCAUAAAGAGGAGACCUGCCCGUGGGAUCCCAUCUGCCACCAUCCUGCUCACACUUCCACCUGCUGCCUCCAACAAGAGUCAUCAUGUCUCACUCUCCAAAGCGUCCAUGCCUCACAUUUGAGCCAGACUUUUGGGCC